rnacentral:misc_RNA from 1 species
UUAACUAUUUGUCUUUUUUCAGAAGGCAUAGAUAGCUGAGUUUUGGUCUUUCGGCAGGUAUGGUAGAGCCCGCCCUGGGCCCGCCUGCCGAAGCAACAGAUAUAGAAAUCACAAGGGUUUGGAGUUGGUAACUCGGUAAUGAUCCCUCCGCUGGUUCACCAACGGAGA